UACGAAGGGGGCUAGCGUUAAUCGGAAUUACUGGGCGUAAAGCGUGCGCAGGCGGUUUUGUAAGCCAGAUGUGAAAUCCCCGGGCUUAACCUGGGAAUGGCAUUUGGGACUGCAAGGCUGGAGUUUGGCAGAGGAGACUGGAAUUCCUGGUGUAGCAGUGAAAUGCGUAGAUAUCAGGAGGAAUACCGAUGGCGAAGGCAGGUCUCUGGGCUAUAACUGACGCUCAUGCACGAAAGCGUGGGGAGCAAACAGG
rnacentral:rRNA from 1 species